ACGACUACAUUAGAUACCCCCGUAGUCCAGGGUGUAAACGCUGCGGGCUUGGUGUUGGGGGUCCUUUGAGGGCGCCCAGUGCCGGAGAGAAGUUGUUAAGCCUGCUGCUUGGGGAGUACGUCCGCAAGGAUGAAACUUAAAGGAAUUGGCGGGGGAGCACCGCAACGGGAGGAGCGUGCGGUUCAAUUGGAUUCAACGCCGGACAACUCACCAGGAGCGACGGUUACAUGAAGGCCAGGCUGAUGACCUUGCCUGAUUUUCCG
rnacentral:rRNA from 1 species